UUACUGCACUCCAGCCUGGGCAACAGAACAAGACUCCGUCUUGAAAAAACAGAAAAGAAAAAGAAAAUGCAGCACGGAUAGGUUACACAAGAAACAGAAAUGAGCCAGAAAAACACUCCCAGUCCUUGCCAAGUUGGCAGUAAGCAGGGUGGCCGGCUCCCUCUCCCAAAUCCAUGCUGGAGAGACCAUAGAGGGAAACAGGGAUUCCAGGAACCAACAACCACAGCAGUAGCAACAAAACGUGUGAACCCCCUGGGGAGAUGUCUCAGACCAGGAUCUGGCCUUGGACACUUUCAUAUAUGCACAUGAUACCAGAGUGAGCAGCCAGUGGCUUAGGGAUGAGAUGCUCUAAGUGGGGCAUUGUCACUCCCUCAGAAGACAAAUAGCAAACCCCAUGAGCCAUAAGUGUAUCCAAAGCAGGACUGAACAGACAGACCAAGAAUGUAAGACAAGCCCCAUACGUAUAAUUAAGGCGCUAAGACAAAACAGAGUAAGUAGAAAUAUUGUGUCCAG
rnacentral:lncRNA from 10 species